CUAUACAUGCAGUCGAGCGAACGGACGAGAAGCUUGCUUCUCUGAUGUUAGCGGCGGACGGGUGAGUAACACGUGGAUAACCUACCUAUAAGACUGGGAUAACUUCGGGAAACCGGAGCUAAUACCGGAUAAUAUUUUGAACCGCAUGGUUCAAAAGUGAAAGACGGUCUUGCUGUCACUUAUAGAUGGAUCCGCGCUGCAUUAGCUAGUUGGUAAGGUAACGGCUUACCAAGGCAACGAUGCAUAGCCGACCUGAGAGGGUGAUCGGCCACACUGGAACUGAGACACGGUCCAGACUCCUACGGGAGGCAGCAGUAGGGAAUCUUCCGCAAUGGGCGAAAGCCUGACGGAGCAACGCCGCGUGAGUGAUGAAGGUCUUCGGAUCGUAAAACUCUGUUAUUAGGGAAGAACAUAUGUGUAAGUAACUGUGCACAUCUUGACGGUACCUAAUCAGAAAGCCACGGCUAACUACGUGCCAGCAGCCGCGGUAAUACGUAGGUGGCAAGCGUUAUCCGGAAUUAUUGGGCGUAAAGCGCGCGUAGGCGGUUUUUUAAGUCUGAUGUGAAAGCCCACGGCUCAACCGUGGAGGGUCAUUGGAAACUGGAAAACUUGAGUGCAGAAGAGGAAAGUGGAAUUCCAUGUGUAGCGGUGAAAUGCGCAGAGAUAUGGAGGAACACCAGUGGCGAAGGCGACUUUCUGGUCUGUAACUGACGCUGAUGUGCGAAAGCGUGGGGAUCAAACAGGAUUAGAUACCCUGGUAGUCCACGCCGUAAACGAUGAGUGCUAAGUGUUAGGGGGUUUCCGCCCCUUAGUGCUGCAGCUAACGCAUUAAGCACUCCGCCUGGGGAGUACGACCGCAAGGUUGAAACUCAAAGGAAUUGACGGGGACCCGCACAAGCGGUGGAGCAUGUGGUUUAAUUCGAAGCAACGCGAAGAACCUUACCAAAUCUUGACAUCCUUUGACAACUCUAGAGAUAGAGCUUUCCCCUUCGGGGGACAA
rnacentral:rRNA from 2 species